rnacentral:pre_miRNA from 1 species
AAUGGGAUAGUUGGGUCAAAUGGUAGUUCCAUUCCCAAGUUUUCUGAGGAAUCUCCAUACUACUUUCCAAAGUGGUUGCAUCAAUUUGCAGUCCCACCAGCAAU